rnacentral:rRNA from 1 species
ACAAGGGCGCAGGGCGAAUGCCUUGGCACUGGGAGCCGAUGAAAGACGUGAUAAGCUGCGAUAAGCUUCGGGGAGCUGCAAAUAAGCAUUGAUCCGGAGAUUUCUGAAUGAGGAAACUCACCUGGGUUCAUACUCAGGUACGUUGUACUGAAAUUCAAAAUAGGUACAUCGGGGGAACCGCCUGAACUGAAACAUCUAAGUAGGGCGAGGAAGAGACAUCAAACGAGAUUCCGUAAGUAGUGGCGAGCGAACGCGGAAGAGGGCAAACCGAAGGUAGAAAUACCUUCGGGGUACGGAGCGCAUUUAAGACUCAAGUUGUUAACCGAACGGCAUGGGAAGGCCGGUCAGAGAGUGUGAGAACCACGUAGGUGAAAACGGAAAGAGCUGCGCAGAUUCCAGAGUACGGCCAGACACGUGAAACCUGGUCGGAAGAUGGGGGGACCACCCUCCAACCCUAAAUACUACCCAGUGACCGAUAGCGUAUAGUACUGUGAAGGAAAGGUGAAAAGCACCCCGGGAGGGGAGUGAAAAAGAACCUGAAACCCUGUGCCUACAAGCACCUAGAGCACGUCAAUGUGUGAUAGGGUACUUUUUGUAGAACGGUCCGGCGAGCGAUUGUAUGCAGCAAGGUUAAGGACUUAAGGUCUGGAGCCGAAGCGAAAGCGAGUUUGAAAAGGGCGUUAAGUUGCAUAUAAUGGGCCCGAAACCGGGUGACCUACCCAUGGUCAGGUUGAAGUGGAAGUAAAAUUCCAUGGAGGACCGAACCGACCUCCGUUGAAAAGGCGGCGGAUGAACUGUGGGUAGCGGAGAAAUUCCAAUCGAACCCGGAGAUAGCUGGUUCUCCCCGAAAUAGUUUUAGGACUAGCCUCAAGUUAGAUACCUGGAGGUAAAGCACUGAAUAGCCUAGCGGCCGAGAGGUUAGCGAAGCUUAUCAAACUCAGAAUGCCAGAGUAUUGAUGCUUGGGAGUCAGACAGUGUCAGAUAAAUGUCAUUGUCAAAAGGGAAACAGCCCAGAUCUACAGCUAAGGUCCCAAAGUCAGGUUAAGUGGAAAACGAUGUGAAGAUACGCAGACAACCAGGAUGUUGGCUCAGAAGCAGCCACUCAUUCAAAGAGUGCGUAAUAGCUCACUGGUCGAGCGUCUUUGCGCGGAGAAUUUAACGGGGCUAAACCUGACACCGAAGCUUAGGCAAUCCAGUAAUGGAUUGGGUAGGGGAGCGUUGUAUACGCGGAGAAACAGUAGCGUAAGCGGCUGUGGAGUGUAUAGAAGUGAGAAUGCCGGAAUGAGUAGCGCGAAUGCAGUGAGAAUCUGCAUGGCCGAAAGCCUCAGGUUUUUGGAGGAAGGUUCGUCCGCUCCAAGUUAGUCGGGAGCUAAGGUGAGGCCGGAAGGCGUAGCCGAUGCACAGACGGUAGAGAUUCCGUCACCACCAAAAGAGUUAAGCACAGGGACACAUUUGAAGUCUCAGAGCCGGGUGUUGGUUCCGGUAGAGAUCGAGGGAAGUUAGUACCGAAGUCUGGGAUGGAAGAUGGCGAGAAAAGCUGUGUGUAUUUCUGAGGUGCCCGUACCGCAAACCGACACAGGUAGGUAGGAAGAAGAUUCUAAGGCCAACGGGAGAAGGGUUGUUAAGGAACUCGGCAAAUUGACCCCGUAACUUCGGGAGAAGGGGUGCUCCAGAGAUGGAGCCGCAGAGAAUCGGCCCAAGCAACUGUUUACCAAAAACACAGGUUUGUGCUAAAUCGAAAGAUGACGUAUACGAGCUGACGCCUGCCCGGUGCUGGAAGGUUAAGAGGAGAUGUGCAAGCAUUGAAUCGAAGCCCCAGUGAACGGCGGCCGUAACUAUAACGGUCCUAAGGUAGCGAAAUUCCUUGUCAGGUAAGUUCUGACCCGCACGAAAGGCGUAACGAUUUGGGCGCUGUCUCAGCUGUAGACUCGGUGAAGUCUUAGUACCUGUGAAGAUGCAGGUUACCCGCGACUAGACGGAAAGACCCCAUGGAGCUUCACUGCAGGUUGAUAUUGGGAUUUGAUGCAGCAUGUACAGGAUAGGUAGGAGGCAAAGAGAUGGAUACGCCAGUAUUCAAGGAGCCGCUGUUGGGAUACUACCCCUGUUGUAUUGGAUUUCUAACCGGACGACGUAGAGCCGUUGACGGGACAGUGUCAGUCGGGCAGUUUGACUGGGGCGGUCGCCUCCCAAAGAGUAACGGAGGCGCCCAAAGAUACCCUCAGCUUGGAUGGAAACCAAGCGCAGAGUGCAAAGGCAAAAGGGUGUUUGACUGCGAGACCUACAAGUCGAGCAGGGACGAAAGUCGGGCUUAGUGAUCCGGCGGUGCUGAAUGGAAAGGCCGUCGCUCAACGGAUAAAAGCUACCCUGGGGAUAACAGGCUGAUCUCCCCCAAGAGUUCACAUCGACGGGGAGGUUUGGCACCUCGAUGUCGGCUCAUCGCAUCCUGGAGCUGAAGUCGGUUCCAAGGGUUGGGCUGUUCGCCCAUUAAAGCGGUACGCGAGCUGGGUUCAGAACGUCGUGAGACAGUUCGGUCCCUAUCUGUCGUGGGCGCAGGAAAUUUGAGAAGAGCUGUCCUCAGUACGAGAGGACCGGGAUGGACGCAUCAAUGGUGGACCAGUUGUCACGCCAGUGGCAUAGCUGGGUAGCUAAAUGCGGAAGGGAUAAACGCUGAAGGCAUCUAAGUGUGAAACCCACUUCAAGAUGAGAUUUCCCAUUGCGCAAGCAAGUAAGACCCCUUAAAGACGAUAAGGUAGAUAGGUCAGGAGUGUAAGCAUGGUGACAUGUUAAGCGGACUGAUACUAAUAGGUCGAGGGCUUGACCG